rnacentral:lncRNA from 1 species
AUGGCACCUGUGUCACCCGUGUCACCUGUGUGUCACCUGUGUGUCACCUGUGUGUCACCUGUGAGUCACCUGUGUGUCACCUGUGUGUCACCUGUGUCACCUGUGUGUCACCUGUGGCACCUGUGUGUGUCACCUGUGUGUCACCUGUGUCACCUGUGUCACCUAUGUGUCACCUGUGUGUCACCUGUGUGUCACCUGUGGCACCUGUGUCACCUGUGUGUCAUCUGUGUGUCACCUGUGUCACCUGUGUCACCUGUGUGUCACCUGUGUGUCACCUGUGCCACCUGUGUCACCUGUGUGUCACCUGUGUGUCACCUGUGUGUCACCUGUGUCACCUGUGUCACCCCCCGUGUCCCCAGAGUCCCCCCGGUGCCACCUGUGCCAUCAGGGGGCGCCUGUCCCAGCAGAGCCACCUGGGGGACAGCCCUGUCACCUGUGUCACCAAGCCCUUGGGGACACCCCCAACACUGUCACCGCCCCCUCUUGGGGUGCCAGGCCUGAGGUGACACCGCUGUCACCAACCCUCGCUCAGGGUGGGGACACUGGGAAUGGGGCUCCUGUCCCUGUGUCACCCUGGGAGCAGUGACACCGAGGGGACAGGUGACACAGAGGGGACAGGUGACACAGGGACAGCGUGACACAGGGACAGGUGACACAGUGACAGGUGACACAGGGACAGUGACACAGGGACAGCGUGACACAGGGACAGCAUGACACAGAGAGGGACAGGUGACACAAGGGGACAGGUGGCACAGGGACAGGUGACACACAGGGACAGGUGACACUGAGGGGACAGGUGACACACAGGUGACACAGGGACAGGUGGCACAGGGACAGGUGGCACAGGGACAGGUGGUACAGGGACAGGUGACACAGGGACAGGUGACACAAGGGGGACAGGUGACACAGGGACAGUGACACAGUGACAGUGUGACACAGAAGGGACAGGUGACACUGAGGGGACAGGUGACACACAGGUGGCACAGGGA